AGUGGUGGGGUUGGCAUAUCAAAUGUAUGGGAUAGGGUGAGUUAUUCUGCUGUGAACCAGUUCUCAUAAUUGGCUUAAUUGAGAGGAAUGUGGGUUGUCAAACGGAAGUAGGCGGAGACGGCGUGCCGCUUGUCAGUGAAAAGGAUACAAGAAAACAUUCAGUUUGUGAAAUAAUAUCAAUCGUCUUACCUGAUACAACGAGGGCUUCGUUAGGGCCGCAAGUUACAAAGCCCCACGUCAUAUUUCUCCGGGUUUUUGGCUUUGAGUACACAAUUUUGUCAAAAUGAAAUGCUACGAGCCCCUAACUAAAA